UUGUCGGAUUUAAGGUAGUCUGGGCAAAAUGUAAGUGAACGAAUAUGAAGUCCAUUUAAACUGUGGUACCUUACAUCCGACAAGUUACCCCGAUAAGCCAGUAACCCCGCUUCGUAGUGCAGGCCACUGUAAUUAGAAUAGGGCUUAGAAACUGCUCAAACGUAUCUUCAACUACACAAACUAGGAAUAAUAUCAGUGAAUGCAAUGGAAAUGCAAUGCUAAUUUGAAGUCUCUUUUUAGAGAACUCAUUAUUUAGUAUUUGCAGUCAUGAACCUCAUUCAUUAAUGGGCCAUUCAGAUGUAGAAUGGCUAAUGUGCAAAUUCGGAAUUUUCUUGAUGUGUGCUCUUUAACUUGCGUCAGCGAACCAAAAAAGGCUGAGUUAAUGAAUGAGAUCGGAUCAGGUGUCCUGAUGCUGCGCCGGCGUCCAUCCCCGCACCCACACACGUUAUCAGCCACGCGCCACCGGGGGGCGGCGUCAUUAGCCGGGAUGACGCGACGCCCGGGCCGCCUGGCCGCCCCGGCUAGCUGGCUCCACCGAAAACAUCGAAACACCCAGCUUGUGUACGUGUCCGUAGUACUACCGCAGAAACAUAAACUGACAAAACCGCCCGGGACAUGCUGUAGACAUCGGUUUGCAGUUAGUAAGAUAUCAAGGAAACGGAACAUGCAAUGCCGGAAGUUGAAAACGACGUUUAUGGGAUCUCCGUCUCAAUCAGGCCGUCCAUGUAAACUAUCUGCUAGGAGAGAGAUGCUGACCACCGAUCAUAUAAUGAAUCAAUUGCAUCAACGUUAUUGUUUUUCUCCAAGACUGAAUAGCCAUUACAAGAGCAUCUUCGGUGUGAAUUAAGUACACCAAGAUCUCAGCCAAUGAACAGCAGAGAAGAGAAAAUAGAUUUGAGAAGACAACUGCACAUGUAGUUAAACAGGAAGAUUUAUAUACACAGCAUUUCACGUUUUCACCAAUUACACUGUAGGAAUGCUACGAAGAAGGUUAUGAACUUUAUUUAAUCCAUGCUGCACGCAACAGUUUCGAACUCUUGGUGGUGCUGCGGGCUCCUGAUCAAGCAUGAAAAACCAGAGAGUGGCACGUUCAUAGUCAUUUUAUGAUUCUUUUUUUUCAGUCUCAUAAGAUGAAGAAAUAAAAUUGG